AGAGUUUGAUCCUGGCUCAGGAAGAACGCUGGCGGCGUGCUUAACACAUGCAAGUCUAAGGAGAAAGUUCCUUCGGGAGCAAGUAAACUGGCGAACGGGUGAGUAACGCGUAGGUAACCUACCCUUAAGCUCGGGAUAACCCACCGAAAGGUGAGCUAAUACCGGAUAAUAUCUUUCCUCAUAAGGGGUAAAGAUCAAAGGUGGCUUCGGCUAUCACUUAUGGAUGGGCCUGCGUCUGAUUAGCUAGUUGGUAAGGUAAUGGCUUACCAAAGCAAUGAUCAGUAGCUGGUCUGAGAGGACGAUCAGCCACAUUGGGACUGAGAUACGGCCCAGACUCCUACGGGAGGCAGCAGUGGGGAAUUUUGCGCGAUGAGCGAAAGCUUGACGCAGCAACGCCGCGUGAUCGAAGAAGCUCUGCGGAGUGUAAAGAUCUGUCAUAGGGGAAGAAAAAUUUCGUUAUUAACACCAUCGGAACGUGACGGUACCCUAUAAGAAAGCCCCGGCUAACUUCGUGCCAGCAGCCGCGGUAAUACGAGGGGGGCAAGCGUUGUCCGGAUUUAUUGGGCGUAAAGAGUUCGUAGGCUGGUUGGUCAGUCGAAAUUGAAAUCCCACGGCUUAACCGUGGUUCCGGUUUCGAUACUGCUGAUCUUGAGUGAGGUAGAGGUAAGCGGAAUUCCUGGUGUAGCGGUGAAAUGCGUAGAUAUCAGGAGGAACACCAAAGGCGAAGGCAGCUUACUGGACCUAUACUGACGCUGAGGAACGAAAGCGUGGGGAGCGAACAGGAUUAGAGACCCUGGUAGUCCACGCCGUAAACGAUGAGUACUUGGUGGUGGAGGAUUCGACCCCUUCACUGUCG
rnacentral:rRNA from 1 species